GACGAACGCUGGCGGCGUGCUUAACACAUGCAAGUCGAACGAAGUGGCGAACGGGUGAGUAACGCGUAAUUAACCUGCCCUUCAGAGGGGGACCACAGUUGGAAACGACUGCUAAUACCGCAUACUGAAGGAGGGGAUUGCGUGUGAUUAGCUAGUUGGAGGGGUAACGGCCCACCAGGGCGAUGAUCAGUAGCCGGUCGGAGAGUGAGAACGGCCACAUUGGGACUGAGACACGGCCAAGACUCCUACGGGAGGCAGCAGUGGGGAAUCUGACGCAAUGGAAGAAAGUCUGACGGAGCAACGCCGCGUGAGUGAGGACGGCCUUCGGGUUGUAAAUCUCUGUUAAUCGGGACGCGGUACCGGAAUAGAAAGCCACGGCUAACUACGUGCCAGCCGCCGCGGUAAUUC
rnacentral:rRNA from 1 species